GUUCCAACAUGGCGGAGCUGACGGUGGAGGUUCGCGGCUCUAACGGGGCUUUCUACAAGUCAAUUCACAAUGAAUCAAAUGUCCCCAUUUUGGAACUCUGAAGUAUUUAUAAUUGAUCUCUAUACAUAUCUACAAUCUACUGCUUGUUUCUACUUAGACUUUGACUCCAUUACUCAUUUUGCCUCACAAAGUGAGUUGGUACUUUGACAAAGGUUGGAAAGGACACUAGCCACCUGUGUGUGCACUGAAAUCAUGUACGCUUGAACAUUUGGAAUUUUAUGUCCAGCCAUAAUCCACUUGCAUAUGCACUUUGUGGAAACUGUGGUCUUCAGAACUCUGGAAGAAUGAGAAUGGCGGAGUGGAAAAGAGUCCUGGAUUUGAAGUAAACAGAUGAGAAUUCUAGGCAGAAGACACACAUUUGGCCGGAUUUAUCAAAGAUGUUCAUGAAGACUCCCUUACAGUUGUUUUUGAAAAUAAUUGGCAACCAGAACGCCAGGUUCCAUUUAAUGAAGUUAGAUUACCACCACCACCUGAUA
rnacentral:lncRNA from 1 species